ACCAAGUAGUUUAGAGGGAAAACGUUGCUCUUGAGAAGCGAAGAUCCGAGUUCAAGUCUCCGGGUUGGUG
rnacentral:tRNA from 1 species